ACUGGAACUGAGACACGGUCCAGACUCCUACGGGAGGCAGCAGUGAGGAAUUUUCCGCAAUGGGCGAAAGCCUGACGGAGCAAUACCGCGUGAGGGAUGAAUGCCUUCGGGUUGUAAACCUCUUUUUUCAAGGAGGAAGUUCUGACGUGUACUUGAAGAAUAAGCAUCGGCUAACUCCGUGCCAGCAGCCGCGGUAAUACGGAGGAUGCAAGUGUUAUCCGAAAUUAUUGGGCGUAAAGAGUCUGUAGGUGGCUUUCAAAGUCUGAUGUUAAAUGUCAGGGCUUAACCCUGAACCUGCAUUAGAAACUAGUAAGCUUGAGUAGAGUCGAAGUAGAAGGAAUUUCCAGUGAAGCGGUGAAAUGCGUAGAUAUUGGAAGGAACACCAAUGGCGAAAGCAUUCUACUAGGCUCUUACUGACACUGAGAGACGAAAGCUAGGGUAGCAAAUGGGAUUAGAUACCCCAGUAGUCCUAGCUGUAAACGAUGGAUACUAAACAUUGCGUGCAUCGAUCCGCGUGGUGUUAUAGCUAACGCGUUAAGUAUCCCGCCUGGGGAGUACGCUCGCAAGGGUGAAACUUAAAGGAAUUGACGGGGGCCCGCACAAGCGGUGGAGCAUGUGGUUUAAUUUGAUGCAACGCGAAGAACCUUACCAGGGUUUGACAUAGUGUUAAUUCUUUGAAAGAAGAAGUGCUUCGGCAGACACAUACAGGUGGUGCAUGGCUGUCGUCAGCUCGUGUCGUGAGAUGUUGGGUUAAGUCCC
rnacentral:rRNA from 1 species